GUAGUCAUAUGCUUGUCUCAAAGAUUAAGCCAUGCAUGUCUAAGUAUAAGCAAUUAUACCGUGAAACUGCGAAUGGCUCAUUAAAUCAGUUAUCGUUUAUUUGAUAGUACCUUACUACUUGGAUAACCGUGGUAAUUCUAGAGCUAAUACAUGCUGAAAACCCCAACUUCGGAAGGGGUGUAUUUAUUAGAUAAAAAACCAAUGCCCUUCGGGGCUCCUUGGUGAUUCAUAAUAACUUCUCAGAUCGCAUGGCCUUGCGCCGGCGACGGUUCAUUCAAAUUUCUGCCCUAUCAACUUUCGAUGGUAAGGUAUUGGCUUACCAUGGUUUCAACGGGUAACGGGGAAUUAGGGUUCGAUUCCGGAGAGGGAGCCUGAGAAACGGCUACCACAUCCAAGGAAGGCAGCAGGCGCGCAAAUUACCCAAUCCCGACACGGGGAGGUAGUGACAAUAAAUACUGAUACAGGGCUCUUUUGGGUCUUGUAAUUGGAAUGAGUACAAUUUAAACCUCUUAACGAGGAACAAUUGGGGGGCAAGUCUGGUGCCAGCAGCC
rnacentral:rRNA from 1 species